AAAAAAAUACCCUAGUCAACAGGCCCUUGCAACUUGUGGAGUUUGAGAUUCUAGCUUUCAAGUGAAGAAUGAACAACUUUGGGCCUCCGAGGAUAACAUUUCUUGAAUAAGUUUUCAGUUGGAGUUAGACGGGGAUGUGAUCACUGGCAACAAUUCCAGUUGUCCCCAGAUCUUCUGCUGGCUUUGCCCUUUUGGAUCCAGCAUCACGCUUUGUGAAAGCCCAGCCCGGACACUCCGCUGUCAAGCAGCAGUAUAGAAAGAAGCAAUUUAGACCUGGAGCACCACUGUUUUCCCUCACCCAG